UACGUAGGCAGCAAGCGUUGUUCGGAGUUACUGGGCGUAAAGGGUGCGUAGGCGGUUUGGUAAGUCUUAUGUGAAAUCUAUGGGCUCAACUCAUAGACUGCAUGAGAAACUGCCGGGCUUGAGUAUGGGAGAGGUGAGUGGAAUUCCUGGUGUAGCGGUGAAAUGCGUAGAUAUCAGGAGGAACACCUGUGGCGAAAGCGGCUCACUGGACCAUAACUGACGCUGAUGCACGAAAGCUAGGGGAGCAAACAGG
rnacentral:rRNA from 1 species